GUCGGAACAAGGUAACCGUACUGAAGGUGCGGUUGGAUCACCUCCUU
rnacentral:rRNA from 1 species